rnacentral:rRNA from 1 species
UACGUAGGGUGCAAGCGUUGUCCGGAUUUAUUGGGCGUAAAGAGCGUGUAGGCGGCCAGACAGGUCCGUUGUGAAAACUCGAGGCUCAACCUCGAGAUGUCGAUGGAAACCGUCUGGCUAGAGUCCGGAAGAGGAGUGUGGAAUUCCUGGUGUAGCGGUGAAAUGCGCAGAUAUCUGGAGGAACACCGGUGGCGAAGGCGGCAUCCUGGACCAAUGCUGACGCUGAGGAGCGAAAGCCAGGGGAGCAAACGGG